rnacentral:lncRNA from 1 species
CUCUUAACUUUGCCUACAAUUUAAUGAUCAACUUUUAUCCUAGCAAAACUUCAAACCCCUUUCAAAUAGGUAGAUCGAAAAUGUCAUAGCUAGGAGAAAGGAACAUUCCAGGUCUAAGCUCAUCCAAAGCACCAUCAAUCCGUUAAUACUAAAUUUAAGAUGCUCAAAAUCUCCCAGGAAUUGCCAACAAUAGAAAAACUC